CGGCCACGCCAGGCGCACGGCACGCCGGGAAUGCUGAAAGGAUUGGUCUUCCGAAGUGGGCCUGGGAGUCGAUCUCGGCAUUUUAAGAAGUGACCAGUGUGCUGAAGAAAUGGCUCAAUGACAGAAGAGUACUUGCUACUAUUUUAAGGAACUCCAGCACAGUUUUUACAUUAGAAAUGCUGGUAACUCCAGCUCCAGCAAUGGUGUGGCGGCACGGGUCUAGGGAAAGAUGGCCAUGACAACAGACAAAUGAGCUAAUGACACCCCCUGCCCAUGCGGAAAAGCUUCCGUUCCAGUUCACUACGUCCUGGUGUCUAUCUGUGUCCCAAUUCUUCUAAAGAGUGGCAGAUGGCCACAGAAUGCAGACUCCACAGAACUGAAAGACGGGUAAAAGCCGCAAUGACAGAAUAGGAAGAGAUAAUGUGUUUCUCCAAAGGAUGGACACCUACAAGAAUGCAAACGGUUAAUGCAGAUCAUUGUGACACCCACAUGUACCUGUGGAUACUCCAAAUUUUCAUUGUAACUCACUGAAUUUUUUAUUUGAGACAUUAUCAGGGGAUAUAAAGUAACUGUAACAGAAACUUGGCCAGGAAACACACAUAUGAAAUUCAGAAAUGGAAAUGACCGUGUGUCCUGUGGUACCCUUUGGGGAAACGUGAAGGUGGAGCAGUCACAACCCAGUGGGGGCAGUUCUUGACGCUCGGUGACAGAAGAGCCCUUGGAAGUAGAGGACACCAACUACAGUAUCUCAUUUUUAUCAACAGGAAAUCAUAAAUAAAAACCUAUUCUCCGUU